UGCGUAGGCGGCCAAAUAAGUCAGAUGUGAAAUACCGGGGCUUAACUCCGGGGCUGCAUUUGAAACUAUAUGGCUGGAGUACAGGAGAGGGAAGCGGAAUUCCUAGUGUAGCGGUGAAAUGCACAGAUAUUAGGAGGAACACCAGUGGCGAAGGCGGCUUUCUGGACUGUAACUGACGCUGAGGCACGAAAGCGUGGGGAGCAAACA
rnacentral:rRNA from 1 species